rnacentral:rRNA from 1 species
UACAGAGGUCCCGAGCGUUGUUCGGAUUCAUUGGGCGUAAAGGGUGCGUAGGCGGCGGGGUAAGUUUGAUGUGAAAUCCCGGGGCUCAACCCUGGAAUUGCAUUGAAUACUACCUUGCUAGAGUACCGGAGAGGAAACUGGAAUUUACGGUGUAGCAGUGAAAUGCGUAGAGAUCGUAAGGAAGACCAGUGGCGAAGGCGGCUCACUGGACUGGUAUUGACGCUGAGGUGCGAAAGCGUGGGGAGCAAACAGG